GAUGAACGCUGGCGGCGUGCCUAAUACAUGCAAGUCGAGCGAACAGACGAUGAGCUUGCGCCGCUGACGUUAGCCGCGGACGGGUGAGUAACACGUGUAUAACCUACCUAUAUGACGGGGAUAACUUCGGGAAACCGGAGCUAAUACCGGAGAAUAUAUUGAACCGCAUUGUUCAAUAGUGAAAUACGGCUUUGCUGUCACGUAUAGAUGGAUCCGCGCCGCAUUAGCUAGUUGGUCAGGUAACGGCCUACCAAGGGAACGAUGCGUAGCCGACCUGAGGGGGUGAUAGGCCACACUGGAACUGAGACACGGACCAGACUACUAAGGGAGGCAGCAGUAGGGAAUCUUCCGCAAUGGGCGAAAGCCUGACGGAGCAACCGCGAGUGAGUGAUGAAGGUCUUCGGAUCGUAAAACUCUGUUAUUAGGGAAGAACAAAUGUGUACGUAACUAUGCACGUAUUGACGGUACCUGAUCAGAAAGCACCGGCUAACUACGUG
rnacentral:rRNA from 1 species